CAAUAAAAUAAAAAAAAAGUUAGUAAUAAAGAAAGGGAAAAAGGAAAAUGAUGAAAAAAAAAAAGAAAAAAAAGUUAUCAUGUUGCUUAAGUUGGCCGAAUAGAGGAAAGAAAGGAAGGGAAAAAGCUUGGAGAAAAUCGGCUAUGGUGGUUCACUAGAUUAAGCUCAAGAGCAAAGGGGAACUAAAUCCGAUAAAGAAAAGGAAAAGGGUGAUCGAAUAGCCGUUGAAAUCGUUCAACAGCAUCCGAGGUAAGACCCGAUGACUACGUGUGGAGAUUUUGUCCGGGUAAGACCCGAUGACUACGUGCGGAGAUUUUGUCCUGGUAAGACCCGAUAACUACGUGUGGGGACUAUUCGAGCUAAAGGUUUCACUGAAGAUUCAAGUAAAGCAUAGGAUCAUACGACUUCACAGUAUCAACUGGUAAUAAAUACGUUCAAUGCGUUAAGUUGGUCAGGUAUGUAUUUUGAGAUUAUAUUUAAGCGUGAUUUGGACUAAAUCACAAGGUCGUUAUGUGAUGCAUAUGUGAGUAAAGCAAUAAGAUUGUUCUAUGAUUAUUGUGCGUUUGGUCAAUGUGGAAAGUUAGGCGAAAAUAUGUAAUGUACCUAUGUUUAUAAGAGAUCACUAUCAAGUGAGAAUUUAUCUGCCUAUUAUAUAUGAUGAGAUGGGCAUAUUCGGUAAAGGGAUGGUAUGCCCGACGGAAGAGUGAAAUAAAAAUACGAACGACUAGGUUAUAAUUUGA